rnacentral:rRNA from 1 species
UACGGGGGGGGCAAGCGUUGUUCGGAAUUACGGGGCGUAAAGGGCUCGUAGGCAGCCAACUAAGUCGGACGUGAAAUCCCUCGGCUCAACCGGGGAACUGCGUCCGAUACUGGAUGGCUCGAGUUCGGUAGAGGGAUGCGGAAUUCCAGGUGUAGCGGUGAAAUGCGUAGAUAUCUGGAGGAAAACCGGUGGCGAAGGCGGCAUCCUGGACCGAUACUGACGCUGAGGAGCGAAAGCCUGUGGAGCAAAUGGG